rnacentral:rRNA from 1 species
AUUGAACGCUGGCGGCAGGCUUAACACAUGCAAGUCGAGCGGAGAUGAGGUGCUUGCACCUUAUCUUAGCGGCGGACGGGUGAGUAAUGCUUAGGAAUCUGCCAUUUAGUGGGGGACAACAUUCCGAAAGGAAUGCUAAUACCGCAUACGUCCUACGGGAGAAAGCAGGGGAUCUUCGGACCUUGCGCUAAAUGAUGAGCCUAAGUCGGAUUAGCUAGUUGGUGGGGUAAAGGCCUACCAAGGCGACGAUCUGUAGCGGGUCUGAGAGGAUGAUCCGCCACACGGGGACUGCGAAACGGCCCAGACUCCUACGGGAGGCAGCAGUGGGGAAUAUUGGACAAUGGGCGGAAGCCUGAUCCAGCCAUGCCGCGUGUGUGAAGAAGGCCUUUUGGUUGUAAAGCACUUUAAGCGAGGAGGAGGCUACUAGUACUAAUACUACUGGAUAGUGGACGUUACUCACAGAAUAAGCACUGGCUAACUCUGUGCCAGCAGCCGCCGUAAUAC